rnacentral:misc_RNA from 1 species
GAGCUGACCAACUCCUUCAAUGGCUAUAGCCGCCGCCAUUACAGUGCCUCUCACAACCCCAACUCGCCGGUCUUUUUCUUCCCUUUCUGCUAAUCCCAAUCGAUUAUCUUCUCCAUUCGCUUUACAAUCGAACAAGCUCAAAUUCGUGGCCAUACAGUGCCCUAGUUUCCGGGUUUCUGCGGUAUCAUCAAUGAAAAUCGAAGUUCCGGAGAAUAGUUCUUCGGCUUCUUUCCUUGAUCGUAAAGAAAGCGACUUUGUUCGCUUUGUCAAGUACCAUGGCCUGGGCAACGACUUUAUAUUGGUUGACAAUAGAGAUACAACAGAACCUAAGGUCAGUCCUGAUCAAGCUGUGAAACUGUGUGAUAGAAACUUCGGUAUUGGUGCGGAUGGGGUAAUAUUUGCAAUGCCGGGAGUCAAUGGCACUGAUUAUACCAUGAGAAUCUUCAAUUCAGACGGAAGUGAGCCAGAGAUGUGUGGUAAU